rnacentral:lncRNA from 1 species
CCGACCAGCUGAAGAGAGACGCCAAGUAACGUCGGAGACUAGAAGUUGCCCAGGGCCCGGCGGGCCCCAUCGACUGCUGCUGCAGUAUUCCUCCUCUGAUCUACCACCGCAGCCUCUGUCGCCAUGGGUAAGAGUCGGACGAAGCGCUUCAAGCGACCUCAGUUCUCCCCUGUAGGUAGCUGUCAGGCCGAGGCGGCGGCAACGGCGAACGGGACUGGGGACGAGGAGGACGACGGGCUGGCGGCGGAGCUUCUGGAGAAGCUCCAGCACCCGAGCGCCGAGGUCCGCGAGUGCGCCUGCGCGGGACUGGCCCGGCUAGUGCAGCAGCGGCCGGCACUACCAGACUUAGCCCGCCGGGAUGCCGUGCGGCGGCUUGGGCCGCUGCUGCUGGACUCAAGUCUAGCGGUAAGGGAGA